rnacentral:misc_RNA from 1 species
AAGAAUCAGGCUCUUAUUCAGAUGCACGACGUGGCUUCGUCUGUUAAAGCUUUGCAAUACUACGCAAAUGUUCAGCCGAGUAUUAGGGGAAGGAAUGUUUACAUACAAUUUUCUUCGCAUCAGGAACUAACAACAGCAGACCAGAACCCGCAAGGGCGGAAAGAUCAGGAUUCGCAACCCAAUCGAAUCCUGUUAGUAACAAUUCAUCACAUGCUCUAUCCUAUAACUGUGGAAGUGCUACAACAAGUGUUUGCUCCUCAUGGAUUUGUGGAAAAGAUUGUCACCUUUCAGAAGUCAGCUGGAUUUCAAGCUCUUAUUCAGUAUCAAACAAGGCAGAGUGCUAUGCAAGCAAGCAAUGCGCUUCAAGGGCGCAAUAUAUAUGAUGGUUGCUGUCAGCUAGACAUUCAGUUUUCCAAUCUUGAUGAGUUACAGGUGAACUACAAUAAUGAACGUUCA